rnacentral:rRNA from 1 species
ACGGGUGAGUAAUGUCUGGGAAACUGCCCGAUGGAGGGGGAUAACUACUGGAAACGGUAGCUAAUACCGCAUAACGUCGCAAGACCAAAGAGGGGGACCUUCGGGCCUCUUGCCAUCGGAUGUGCCCAGAUGGGAUUAGCUAGUAGGUGGGGUAACGGCUCACCUAGGCGACGAUCCCUAGCUGGUCUGAGAGGAUGACCAGCCACACUGGAACUGAGACACGGUCCAGACUCCUACGGGAGGCAGCAGUGGGGAAUAUUGCACAAUGGGCGCAAGCCUGAUGCAGCCAUGCCGCGUGUAUGAAGAAGGCCUUCGGGUUGUAAAGUACUU